rnacentral:tRNA from 1 species
GGGUGAUUAGCUCAGCUGGGAGAGCACCUCCCUUACAAGGAGGGGGUCGGCGGUUCGAUCCCGUCAUCACCAC